GACGAACGCUGGCGGCGCGCUUAACACAUGCAAGUCGAGCGAAGCGGCGGACGGGUGAGUAACACGUGAGUAACCUGCCUUAGACAUUGGGAUAGCCUCGGGAAACCGGGAUUAAUACCAAAUGGUCUAAGAUGGACUCGCGUCCCAUUAGCUAGUUGGUGAGGUACCGGCCCACCAAGGCGACGAUGGGUAGCCGGCCUGAGAGGGUGAACGGCGACAUUUGAACUGGGAAACAGUCCAAAAUCUACGGGAGGGAGCAGUGGGGAAUAUUGCACAAUGGAGGGAGCUCUGAAGCAGCGACGCCGGUUGAACGAAGAAGGCGAUCGAGACGUAAAGUGCUUUUAUAUGGGAAGCGGUACCAUAAGAAAAAGCCCCGGCUAACUACGUGCCAGCAGCCGCGGUAAUAC
rnacentral:rRNA from 1 species